rnacentral:rRNA from 1 species
GACAGAGGGUGCAAACGUUGCUCGGAAUCACUGGGCGUAAAGGGCGUGUAGGCGGGAAGGAAAGUCGGGCGUGAAAUCCCUGGGCUCAACCCAGGAACUGCACUCGAAACUUCUUUUCUUGAGUGCCGGAGAGGAAAGCGGAAUUCCUGGUGUAGAGGUGAAAUUCGUAGAUAUUAGGAAGAACACCAGUGGCGAAGGCGGCUCACUGGUCCGGUACUGACGCUGAGGUGCGAAAGCGUGGGGAGCAAACAGG